rnacentral:rRNA from 1 species
UACAGAGGGUGCAAGCGUUGUUCGGAAUUAUUGGGCGUAAAGGGCGCGUAGGCGGUGCGGUAAGUCACCUGUGAAAUCUCCGGGCUUAACUCGGAGCCUGCAGGCGAAACUACCGUGCUGGAGUGUGGGAGAGGUGCGUGGAAUUCCCGGUGGAGCGGUGAAAUGCGUAGAGAUCGGAAAGAACACCAACGGCGAAAGCACUCUGCUGGGCCGACACUGACACUGAGAGACGAAAGCUAGGGGAGCGAAUGGG